rnacentral:rRNA from 1 species
CUGGCUCAGGAUGAACGCUAGCGGCAGGCUUAACACAUGCAAGUCGAGGGGCAUCGGGAGUAGCAAUACUUGCCGGCGACCGGCGCAAGGGUGCGUAACGCGUGAGCAACAUGCCCGUAUCAGGGGGAUAAUCCAUGGAAACGUGGUCUAAUACCCCAUAGUAAUUAUGUAAGGCAUCUUAUAUAAUUUAAAGCUUUGGUGGAUACGGAUUGGCUCGCGUGACAUUAGCUAGAUGGUAAGGUAACGGCUUACCAUGGCUACGAUGUCUAGGGGUUCUGAGAGGAAGGUCCCCCCACACUGGAACUGAGACACGGUCCAGACUCCUACGGGAGGCAGCAGUGAGGAAUAUUGGACAAUGGAUGGAAAUCUGAUCCAGCCAUGCCGCGUGCAGGAAAGACGGCCCUAUGGGUUGUAAACUGCUUUUGUAUGGGAGCAAUAAGGGCUACGCGUAGUCCGAUGAGAGUACCAUACGAAUAAGCACCGGCUAACUCCGUGCCAGCCGCUGC